rnacentral:rRNA from 1 species
UACGUAGGCAGCAAGCGUUGUUCGGAGUUACUGGGCGUAAAGGGUGUGUAGGCGGUUCCCUAAGUUUGGUGUGAAAUCUCCCGGCUCAACUGGGGAGGGUGCGCCGAAAACUGGGGGGCUAGAGUACUGGAUGGGAGAGUGGAAUUCCUGGUGUAGCGGUGAAAUGCGUAGAUAUCAGGAGGAACACCUGUGGUGUAGACGGCUCUCUGGACAGUAACUGACGCUGAGACACGAAAAGCGUGGGUAGCAAACAGG